rnacentral:hammerhead_ribozyme from 1 species
ACCCAUUUGAGGAAUCCCAAAUAGGAUGAAAUUCGUAUCCUGGAU